GUCCCUAAUCCAAUAGGACUCAUGUCCUUUAAAGAAGAGGAAGAGACAUUAGGGAUGUGAGUGCAUAAAGAAAAGGCCACGUGAGGACACAGCAAGAAAGUGGUCAUCUGCAAGCGCAAAAGACAGGCCUCAGAAGAACCCAACCCUAUUGACACUAUGAUCUUGGACAUCCAGCCUCCAGAACUGAGCCAAAAUAAUGCAGCUUCACAUCUCCUUAAUGGACAGAAGACUACACUGUUUUUGCUGCACCCAGAGAUAAAAUUAUUGGUUUUGGAGUACCUUCACUGA
rnacentral:lncRNA from 1 species